rnacentral:rRNA from 1 species
UGGGGAAUAUUGGACAAUGGGCGGAAGCCUGAUCCAGCCAUGCCGCGUGUGUGAAGAAGGCCUUUUGGUUGUAAAGCACUUUAAGCGAGGAGGAGGCUACUUGGAUUAAUACUCUAGGAUAGUUGACGUUACUCGCAGAAUAAGCACCGGCUAACUCUGUGCCAGCAGCCGCGGUAAUACAGAGGGUGCGAGCGUUAAUCGGAUUUACUGGGCGUAAAGCGUGCGUAGGCGGCUUCUUAAGUCGGAUGUGAAAUCCCUGAGCUUAACUUAGGAAUUGCAUUCGAUACUGGGAAGCUAGAGUAUGGGAGAGGAUGGUAGAAUUCCAGGUGUAGCGGUGAAAUGCGUAGAGAUCUGGAGGAAUACCGAUGGCGAAGGCAGCCAUCUGGCCUAAUACUGACGCUGAGGUACGAAAGCAUGGGGAGCAAACAGG